rnacentral:rRNA from 1 species
UACGAAGGGGGCUAGCGUUGUUCGGAAUUACUGGGCGUAAAGCGCACGUAGGCGGGUUGUUAAGUCAGGGGUGAAAUCCUGGAGCUCAACUCCAGAACUGCCUUUGAUACUGGCAACCUAGAGACUGGAAGAGGUUAGUGGAAUUCCCAGUGUAGAGGUGAAAUUCGUAGAUAUUCGGAGGAACACCAGUGGCGAAGGCGGCUCACUGGUCCAUUACUGACGCUGAGGUGCGAAAGCGUGGGGAGCAAACAGG